rnacentral:lncRNA from 1 species
AGUCGCGGCACUCGAGUCACCCGGCUGCGACUCGCUGGCCCUGGCGUCUAAAGCGUAGCCUUAAUUACCCGGAAGUGCGGUCCCAGGGACUUCAAACCUUUUGUCCAGGCCGCCGGAGGUGCCUGUGAUUAGUCGGCAUUUCGCGGCUGAGGCUGAUUCAGCCCAUUACAUCAAUUCCGCAGCUGCUGUCUUCAAUUUGGAGGCGCCAGAGAGUGCUUGAUCUAAAAGAUGGUGGGAAAUACAAAGGUUGAGCAAAACCUACCUGAAUUUCAGGAAACUAAGGCUCAGAGAGGGCUACGUACAACCUGUGAAGAUCACAGGAUGGCAAAAAUGGGCUUAGAAUCCAGGUUGUCCUGUUCCCAAAGCUAACGGUUUUGCAUUAGCUGCUGCCCCUUACUACUAAACCCAAGUCAGCUCUACAUUUAGCUUAUCCCUAAGCUAAGCGGAAACAUGCCUUUUCCACAGGUAACUUUUUCUGCUUCUACCCCUCAGAGCACAUUCAGCUUACUCACCGUGGUUACCUCUUGAAAGCAACUUAGAGGCCGGUCGCGGUGGCUCAAGCCUGUAAUCCCAACACUUUGGGAGGCCAAGGCGGGCGGAUCAUUUGAGACCAGGAGUGUGAGGCCAGACUGGCCAAAAUGGUGAGAUGAGACCCCGUCUCUGCUAAAAAUACAAAAAUGAGCUGGACAUGAUGGCUUGUAAUCCCAGCUACUCGAGAGUGUGAGUCAGGAGAAUCGCUUGAACCCCGGAGGCUGAGGUUGCGGUGAGAAAUUGCACCGCUGCACUCCAGCAUAGACCACAAAGCAAGACUCCGUCCCAAAAAAAAAAAAAAAAAAUCCUGAUUGUUUCUAUUCAGUAAUUACAUUUGUAGGAAAUUAUUCCAUGAAAAUAAACAUAAAUAAUUCCUCUGUAUUAGUAUAACAGUGAAAAACUAAAAGCAAUAUAAAAAUCCAACACUAAAUAAAAAUGGUUAAGUAAAUUAUGGGAAACCCAUUCAAUUGAACUGUUUUAUGUACACAUCCUUUGCCUACUUCUGGCUCCCAUUUUAUUUCCUUCAUAGUCAUUAAAAGCAAUUAAUUCUGUGAACUAUUUGUUUACUUGUUUAUUGUCUGCCUCCACCUUUAGAAUAUAAGCUUUAAGGCAGGGGCUUUGUCUUUUUGUUUUUUGUUUUUUUAAGUGAUGGGAAUCUCACUAUAUUGUCCAGGCUGGAUCUGAACUUCUGGACUCAAGGGAUCCUCAAGCAUCAGCCCUCUGAGUAGCUGGGACUACAGGCUCCAUGCUAUGGCUCCCAGCUGGGCUUUGUCUUUUUGAUCACCAUUGUAUCCCCGGUAGCUGACAGAGUGCCAAUACCUAAGUGGCCAUUCAAUGAAUUUGUUGAAUAAUUUUUUUUUUUGAGAUGGUGCCCAG